AUAUCAAUAAGCGGAGGAAAAGAAACCAACAGGGAUUGCCUCAGUAACGGCGAGUGAAGCGGCAACAGCUCAAAUUUGAAAUCUGCCCGCAAGGGCCGAGUUGUAAUUUGUAGAGGAUGUUUUGGGUACCGCCGCGGUUUAAUUUUCUUGGAACAGGAAGCCAAAGAGGGUGAGAGUCCCGUCUUGGACCGCGGUAGGGCUCGUGUAAAACUCCUUCGACGAGUCGAGUUGUUUGGGAAUGCAGCUCAAAAUGGGUGGUAAAUUUCAUCUAAAGCUAAAUAUUGGCCAGAGACCGAUAGCGCACAAGUAGAGUGAUCGAAAGAUGAAAAGCACUUUGAAAAGAGAGUUAAACAGUAUGUGAAAUUGUUGAAAGGGAAGCGCUGGCAACCAGACUCGAGCGCGGUGUUCCCCCUGGCUUCUGCCUGGGUUACUUCACCGUGUCCGGGCCAUCAUCAGUUUUGGGGACCGGUUAAAGGCCCCGGGAAUGUAUCGUCUCCUUCGGGGGACGACUUAUAGCCCGGGGUGUCAUGCGGCCUCCCGGGACUGAGGAACGCGCUUCGGCGAGGAUGAUGGCGUAAUGGUUGUCAGCGA
rnacentral:rRNA from 1 species